rnacentral:lncRNA from 1 species
GGUGCAUUUAAACAGCUGUUAGUCCCCCAGUAGUCAUCUAGAGAGACAAGAGAGAGAAAUCACUUAUUUUGAUACUAAAAACACAGAGCUACAAAGGCUCUGCCUUCAUGACAUAAUCACCUCAUAAAGGCCACACCUCUUAAUACUAUCACAUUGGCAAUUAAGUUUCAAUAUACAAAUCUGGGGGGACAUAUUCAGACCAUAGCAUUUUAUUACCAGUUUUGGGAUUCCCUUCUCCUCUUGUGUGGGACUCCUUAAUUCCAGCGUCCCACAUCUUCCUCUUUUUCGAUUUCACCCUUUGUUUUGAUAGAGCACAUUUUGUAGUAGUUUCCGAGGAAAGAGUUCAUAGGACAUAAGUGUUUUGAGAACUUGCUCCCUUUGUUUUAGUAUUGUAAUUAAUUGAUCAGUUGACUAGGUGGUGAGAUGGAAAGUUAUUUCUCUUUCUGGAUUUUGAAGGCAUUUCUCCAUUAUCUUCUAGCUUCUGAUAAUAGACUUGUUAUUUUGCAGUUGUAAUAACAUAAUGCAAUCAAUGUUAGUUUGAUUCCUGAUCCUUGUCUGUUUUUUACUCCCAAGAAGGUUUUAGAAAUUCUUUGUCCUUCAGCUUCUAAAAUGUCCUGACUAUAGGAACUAAUAUGGAUCUUUGCU